rnacentral:rRNA from 1 species
AUUGAACGCUGGCGGCAUGCUUUACACAUGCAAGUCGAACGGUAACAGGGAGCUUGCUCCGCUGACGAGUGGCGAACGGGUGAGUAAUGCGUCGGAACGCGCCGAGUAGUGGGGGAUAACGCAUCGAAAGGUGUGCUAAUACCGCAUACGUACUGAGGUAGAAAGUGGGGGACCUUCGGGCCUCACGCUAUUCGAGCGGCCGACGUCUGAUUAGCUAGUUGGUGAGGUAAAGGCUCACCAAGGCGACGAUCAGUAGCGGGUCUGAGAGGAUGAGCCGCCACACUGGGACUGAGACACGGCCCAGACUCCUACGGGAGGCAGCAGUGGGGAAUUUUGGACAAUGGGCGCAAGCCUGAUCCAGCCAUGCCGCGUGUCUGAAGAAGGCCUUCGGGUUGUAAAGGACUUUUGUCCGGGAGCAAAUGCCUGGUGUUAAUAGCAUCGGGAGCUGAGAGUACCGGAAGAAUAAGCACCGGCUAACUACGUGCCAGCCGCCGCCGUAAAAC